UUUAGUGCUCCGCCUGGGAGUAUGUUCGCAAGGCUGAACUCAAAGGAAUUGACGGGGGCCACACAAGCGGUGGAGGAUGUGGCUUAAUUCGAGGCUACGCGAAGAACCUUAUCCUAGUCUGACAUGCUUAGGAACCUGACUGAAAGGUUGGGGUGCCCGAAAGGGAGCCUUUGCACAGGUGCUGCAUGGCUGUCGUCAGCUCGUGUCGUGAGAUGUCGGGUUAAGUCCCUUAACGAGCGAAACCCCUAUCUCUAGUUGCCAGCGUGUAAUGGCGGGGACUCUAGAGAGGCUGCCGGUGUUAAACCGGAGGAAGGUGGGGAUGACGUCAAGUCCUCAUGGCCUUUAUGAUUAGGGCUGCACACGUCCUACAAUGCGUUAUACAAAGGGAACCAAAACUGUGAGGUCGAGGAAAUCUCAAAAAGUAACGCUCAGUUCGGAUUGCAGGCUGCAACUCGCCUGCAUGAAGCUGGAAUCGCUAGUAAUCGCGGGUCAGCAUACCGCGGUGAAUGUGUUCCCAGGCCUUGUACACACCGCCCGUCACACCAUGGGAGUUGGUUUCACCCGAAGGCGCUGCGCUAACCCGCAAGGGAGGCAGGCGACCACGGUGGGAUCAGCGACUGGGGUGAAGUCGUAACAAGGU
rnacentral:rRNA from 1 species